rnacentral:rRNA from 1 species
AUUGAACGCUGGCGGUAGGCCUAACACAUGCAAGUCGAACGAGUGGCGGACGGGUGAGGAAUACAUCGGAAUCUCCUCUGUCGUGGGGGAUAACGUAGGGAAACGUACGCUAAUACCGCAUACGAUCGAAUGAGCCGAUGUGGGAUUAGCUAGUUGGUGGGGUAAAGGCUCACCUAGGCGACGAUCCGUAGCUGGUCUGAGAGGAUGACCAGCCACACUGGAACUGAGACACGGUCCAGACUCCUACGGGAGGCAGCAGUGGGGAAUAUUGGACAAUGGGCGCAAGCCUGAUCCAGCCAUGCCGCGUGGAUGAAGAAGGCCUUCGGGUUGUAAAGCCCUUUUGGUGGGGAAGCGGUACCCAAAGAAGAAGCACCGGCUAACUUCGUGCCAGCAGCCGCGGUAAUUC